rnacentral:rRNA from 1 species
GACGAACGCUGGCGGCGUGCUUAACACAUGCAAGUCGAACGGAAAGGCCCCCACCUUGGUGGGGGUGCUCGAGUGGCGAACGGGUGAGUAACACGUGGGUGAUCUGCCCUGUACUUCGGGAUAAGCUUGGGAAACUGGGUCUAAUACCGGAUAGGACCAUGGUUUAGUGUCUCAUGGUGGAAAAAUUAUUGUUUUGGUGCAGGAUGAGCUCGCGGCCUAUCAGCUUGUUGGUGGGGUAAUGGCCUACCAAGGCGUCGACGGGUAGCCGGCCUGAGAGGGUGGACGGCCACAUUGGGACUGAGAUACGGCCCAGACUCCGACGGGAGGCAGCAGUGGGGAAUAUUGCACAAUGGGCGCAAGCCUGAUGCAGCGACGCCGCGUGGGGGAUGACGGCCUUCGGGUUGUAAACUCCUUUCGUUAGGGACGAAGCCACACCUUUUUUGGGUGUGGUGACGGUACCUUUGUUAAGAAGCACCGGCUAACUACGUG